CACGUAGGGCGCAAGCGUUGUCCGGAAUUAUUGGGCGUAAAGAGCUCGUAGGCGGUCUGUCGCGUCGGAUGUGAAAACCCAGGGCUCAACCCUGGGCCUGCAUUCGAUACGGGCAGACUAGAGUUCGGUAGGGGGAGACUGGAAUUCCUGGUGUAGCGGUGAAAUGCGCAGAUAUCAGGAGGAACACCGGUGGCGAAGGCGGGUCUCUGGGCCGAAACUGACGCUGAGGAGCGAAAGCGUGGGGAGCAAACAGG
rnacentral:rRNA from 1 species